rnacentral:rRNA from 1 species
AACGAACGCUGGCGGCAGGCUUAACACAUGCAAGUCGAACGAUGUAGCAAUACAUAGUGGCGCACGGGUGAGUAACGCGUGGGAAUAUACCUUGUAGUGGGGAAUAACGUUGGGAAACUAACGCUAAUACCGCAUACGCCCGAGAGGGGAAAGAUUUAUCGCUAUAAGAUUAGCCCGCGUGCGAUUAGGUAGUUGGUGGGGUAAUGGCCUACCAAGCCUACGAUCUCUAGCUGGUCUGAGAGGAUGAUCAGCCACACUGGAACUGAGACACGGGCCAGACUCCUACGGGAGGCAGCAGUGGGGAAUAUUGGGCAAUGGAGGAAACUCUGACCCAGCCAUGCCGCGUGAAUGAUGAAGGCCUUAGGGUUGUAAAGUUCUUUCGCCGAUGAAGAUAAUGACGGUAGUCGGAGAAGAAGCCCCGGCUAACUUCGUGCCAGCAGCCGCCGUAA